AUUGAACGCUGGCGGCAGGCCUAACACAUGCAAGUCGAGCGAGCGGCGGCCGGGUGAGUAAUGUAUGGGGACUGCCCGAUAGAGGGGGAUAACUACUGGGCACGGUAGCUAAUACCCCAUACUCUCUGAUAACCACUAUGGGAUUAGCUAGUGGGUGAGGUAAUGGCUCACCUAGGCGACGAUCCCUCGCUGGUCUGAGAGGAUGACCAGCCACACUGGAACUGAGACACGGCCCAGACGCCUACGGAGGCAGCAGUGGGGAAGAUUGCACAAUGGGCGCAAGCCUGAUGCAGCCAUGCCGCGUGUAUGAAGAAGGCCCUCGGGUUGUAAAGUACUUUCAGUCGGGAGGCGUUACCGACAGAAGAAGCACCGGCUAACUCCGUGCCAGCAGCCGCGGUAAUUC
rnacentral:rRNA from 1 species